UGAUUUGGUGUUUGUGAAGUCUUCAUCUUCCUGAGUGCGCGUAAUAAGGAUAGAGCAAUUCUACGAGGAUAAUAACUAUUUAAGUUUCUACAGUAAGAUUAAAAGGAAAAAAAAUAUCUUAACUCUUUAUUAGGACAUGCAUUGAUGCUGUUAUAAAAAAUGCUAAUUGACUAAACAACUUUAUCAAUUGAAUUUAGUCUGGUUUCACGCAACUUAGUUAUAAUUGAAUUUGAGAGAAGAUCCUAAAAAAGACGUCUACUGACAAAAAGUGAGAGUACAGAAUUCGUCAACCAAUUUUGUAAAUGUCACACCAAUGUGCAUUGUUUAUAUCUUGCUAAAUUCUAGCACACAAAUUCCUAUCUUCAUAUACCGGAUAAUUCUAAAUUAUAUGAUUUAUUUAUGAAUAGGGAAUACGCAAGGAGGUAUGAAAACCAAACUUCUUCAGUUAUUGAUGUUUCACAUUCAACUGUUUUGAAGAUAAAUUAUAUUGCUCCUACUGUGUUCGAUCAAGAAACCUCGUGGAAAAAUGCAUUCUUUAAAAGAGUAACUAAAAAAAACCAAAACUCCCAACUUUUUUUUGUUUUAUGUUUAUAACGGUCUAUCAAUUCUUCAAUAAAGUGUUACCAAACAAAGCACUUAGAGGUAAGGAUGGCAAAAAUAAAGGCUUUUCUUAGGUCGAAAUAUUUGUUGUGAAACAAAGGGUAUCCGCGAAUAGCAUGACAGCGGCUGUUCUGCUCAGCUUUCAUCUGAAAUUGAAUAAACUAGCAAUACCAAGAAUACAAACAAUGUACCCAAACUCAUAGGUAAAGCAUAUAGAAACAAAUAACCUCUUAUCAUCAGUGAAUAUGAAUUAUUUUUGCUGAAUAUACUCCC